rfam:Triticum urartu cultivar G1812 contig398034, whole genome shotgun sequence.
GAGCCGUAUGCGGUGAGAGUCGCACGUACGGUAAGGAGGGGGGAGCUAUUUCCCUUGGCACCUUAGAGUCCUCAGACGAUGAACAGAGCACUAGAUGCCCUAAUCUACUCCUAU